GCCGUUCUAUGGUUUUAAUAAAUGUGUUGUCAUUUCAUAUUUAUUACUACUAAUAUGAUUUUUUAGUGAUCAGUGAUAAUGUAUUUUUAACGUUAUGCAUGUAUUAUAUUUUAUCUUAUAUUUACUAACUCUUCAUGCUGGUACUUUUUUAAAAUCAUUUUAAUUAGGUAAUAAGUUUAAAGAUGUAAAUAAAUCUGUGUAUGUUGUAAAUUUAGACUUUUUAGUGUAACUGAGCACUAUCGAUUAUGGAAAUUAUAUUAUGAUUUUAUUUUACUAAAUCUUUCUUUCUUUGUAUAUUUUUUGUUUUAUUUUGUAUUUUUACAAUUUUAUUGUCUUAUUCUUUAAUUGCAGAGAAUUGCUAUUUCCAAUUUUUGUUUCAUAUACCUUAAAAGUCUUCGGUUGAUUUUUGUUUGUUUUUUUUCUCCAAUUACAAUGUACAGUUCGACCGUUUCUUUUUUUUUUGGGAUCAAACUACUAAUACCAUCAAAUAGAAACGUUUAAACUCUGAGAAUGAAGUGAGUAUUUGUGCUAGAGAAAACUGAUUUAGCCACUAAUAUAGUGAGAUAUUAUAAUAUUAGAAGUUAUGGAAACUUUUCUUUGUUGUCCUACGCUGGACAUAAUUAAGUUGUUGUCAAUUGAUUCUAUAUUUGUGAUAACUGGAAAUACAUAUUUAUGUCUUCCUUACAUCAUCU
rnacentral:lncRNA from 1 species